CCUACGGGAGGCUGCAGUGGGGAAUUUUGCGCAAUGCUCGUAAGAGUGACGCAGCGACGCCGCGUGAAUGACGAAUGCCUUCGGGUCGUAAAGUUCUUUCGACAGGGAAGAAAAUGCCUAUAAGUAACUGUGUAUGUAUUGACGGUAUCUGUAUAAGCAGCCCCGGCUAACUCCGUGCCAGCCGCCGCGGUAAUACGGCGGGGGCGAGCGUUGUUCGGAGUGACUGGGCGUAAAGAGCACGUAGGGGGUGUUGUAAGUCAGUAGUCAAAGAUUAGAGCUCAACUUUAGUAAGGCUAGUGAUACUAUAAUACUAGAGUAUCAGAGAGGAUGGCAGAAUUCCUGGUGUAGCGGUGAAAUGCGUAGAUAUCAGGAAGAAUACCGUUAGCGAAGGCGGCAAUCUGGCUGGAAACUGACACUGAGGUGCGAAAGCGUGGGUAGCAAACAGGAUUAGAUACCCCUGUAGUC
rnacentral:rRNA from 1 species